UACGUAGGGGGCAAGCGUUGUCCGGAUUUAUUGGGCGUAAAGAGCGCGUAGGCGGCCAGAUAAGUCCGGUGUGAAAGUCACAGGCUCAACCUGUGAAUGCCGCUGGAAACUGUCUGGCUAGAGUCCGGAAGGGGCGAGUGGAAUUCCUGGUGUAGCGGUGAAAUGCGUAGAUAUCUGGAGGAACACCGGUGGCGAAGGCGGCAUCCUGGACCGGCAUUGACGCUGAGGCGCGAAAGCUAGGGGAGCAAACGGGG
rnacentral:rRNA from 1 species